rnacentral:lncRNA from 1 species
CCAACAACGCUUUAAGCAUUGUCAAAGCCCAAAGCUAGUCCUAGCAUCGAUGCUUAUAAGCAUCGUCGGAGACUAAAGCUAGGCCUAGCAUCGACGACGCUUGCAUGGUGCAGAAACGACGACGCUUAUAAGCAUUAUUGGACACCACAAUUUCCCCACCUCCCAUCCCUAAAUCUCCAACUCGUCGGACACCAGAAAACCCAUUGUCCCUAAAUCCCCAACCCCAGACGUCAUCAUCCACAAAAUUCCUAUUUCUUCCCCGCGCGACCAAGCCUCUUCGUCAAGCUCCGCCUCUGCCCGUCCGUGGAGGUCUCCUUCUCCUCCUCCUUCUCUCCUUCUCUGGCGCUUCCCACUUCCUCCUUCUCCUCCUCCCCCUUGUUAUCCUAGAUACCCAAAUAUAAUUGAUAAAUCAAUAAUUCAAUAUUUCUAAUAUUCAUAAACAGUAAAUAAGAAGAAUAAACUAGCAUUAUUUACUUGACAAUAAAGUAAUAAAAUGAAGAAAUGAAAGAAGAUGGCAUGUGGAUCAAAGCAUGCUGACGCGUUGUCCUAAGAAAGUUUAUGCCCCCCCACGCAUGGGUUCGCUGGCACAGAUCUCCUAGAGAUACGACGACCUAGUACAGAACUACGUCUUCCCCACC